GAUGAAGAACGUAGCGAAAUGCGAUAAGUAGUGUGAAUUGCAGAAUUCAGUGAAUCAUCGAAUCUUUGAACGCACAUUGCGCCCCUUGGUAUCCCGAGGGGCAUGCCUGUUCGAGCGUCAUUUCACCACUCAAGCCUGGCUUGGUGUUGGGCGACGUCCUCUUUGGGGACGCGCCUCGAAACGCUCGGCGGCGUGGCACCGGCUUUAAGCGUAGCAGAAUCUUUCGCUUUGGAAGUCGGGGCCCCGUCUGCCGGAAGACCUGCUCGCAAGGUUGACCUCGGAUCAGGCAGGGAUACACGCUGAACUUAAGCAUAUCAAUAAGCGGAGGA
rnacentral:misc_RNA from 1 species